GCCGCCAUUUUAUCCACGAGUUGUGUUGGACAUACAGAGCUCUGGAAAUAUAUUUUAUGAACUAAAAAAAAAAAAAAAACUAAUAUAAUUACAUUGAACAGAGUUUCAGGUUCAUUUCACAGUUUUAUAACCAGAACUCUUUGCAGUAAUCUCUUAAUCUAAAAAAAUGGGUCUUACCAAAACUCAGUAAACACAUGCCAUGUGCCUGGUGAGUGUAGUAGGAGGGGCCUGAAUUUGAUUGGCUAACACUCUUUAGUACAGAGGAAGUGAAAUUAAUAAAAAUAUAUAUUUUUUUUAUUACUAAGAAUAAUUAAUUGUUUACUAAGUCCAGGUCUAAUUUACAGAGCUAUAUAUAAUUAGGAUUAUCUUAUAUUUAAUAUUUUAGAUUUUUUGUUAUUAUUAACAUUCAAGUUUAAGUGUAUAUAUUUCAGUUAAUAUAGGGUAUUUUAAGCUGAAUGUAAGGUGGACUCUUGUAAUUCCGCAGGUUUUGCCGCUGGGGGCGCCGAAGUAAACAAAACUUUAAUUCUUAAAAAAAAAAACAUUUUCUUUAAAAGUCAAACGAGCACUGGACUUUAUUCUACACAGAUGUCUCUCCUAAAAAAACUUUUUUUGUGAGGAAUUUAGAUCUAAUUUACAGUGCUUUAUAUAACUAGGAUUAUCUUAUAUUUAAUAUUUUAGAUUUUACCACAGACCCUGCAAUGUGAUUGGCUGAGAGGCGUUUUAUGAGCCAUAUUAUGCACUGUAACCGAAGCUCUCCAUGUAUUACUCCGCCACAUACAGGUAACCUAGCAACGAUGCAGCGCCAAAUACAAACCAAAUGCAAUAUCAUUAUUCACCACUGGGAGGCACUAGAUCCCAUAGGCACAAACGCCAUGCAGAAACGCCAUGACUCCAUUAGGCGGCGCAGGAAAGGCCGCGGUCCCACCAAUAAAUAAGCCCAUCUAUUCGAAAAUACGCAUUAAUACACACAUUAUCAGCCACCAAUAUCAGUCAAACGAGCACUGGACUUUAUUCUACACAGAUGUCUCUCCUAAAAAAACGUCUAUUUGGGUGAGUAAAACGCUUCGGUUUAUUGACAGUACGCUUAGAUUUGACUGAAAUGGCCGCAGAGCAACUAUGGAACUAUUUUAACAGUGGAGUGUUUAUAACAAAACAGAUCAGUCCGCAUUUUCUCAUCUUCUUUAACACAAAAUCUUUUAAUAAACAGCGAUGAUGGAACUGGGGUAUAAUCGCA
rnacentral:lncRNA from 1 species